UUAUGGCUUGCAGAUGACUUUUAUUUCUUAGUUUUUUCAUCACACAUUAAGACACCAAAUUGUACAUUAGACAUAAAUGAAUCAUCAUCACAAUAAACCAUGGCUGCAUCAUGACAAAACGCACAAUUUCUUCUGAAUAUGCUGUCCUUCGACCAUGGCUUUGGAGCACACACAUAUACAUCGUAGAAAACACGUCAUUCAACGCUGCAAAGAAUGAAAAGCUCCACAGGGAACUUGAUAUCUGCCUCUCUGAACAGUAGAAGAGCUCUGCCAAUGCUUUGGGUAAUAUUCUUAUCCUGUGUGGGUAAUAAAAGCAGCUGGUAAAAUGAAUAUAUAGAUAUUUUAAAUCAGAGAUAUGGACAGCUAUCUGUGUAUAUAAUAAAACUGAUUGCAGACCUUGUCAUUUUAGUGUGCGCUACAUGUGUCUAUGUACAGUGAUGCAUUUUUGCUUUUUUUGGAUGUUACCUUGGCAAUCGAUUAAAACACACUUUAGCCCUGGAGAGUGGCAGUCUGCUGAGAUUUCCUCCUGACGUGUGGAUAAUUUAGUAGCAAUAAAGUAGCAAUUUUUAAUGAAAGAUGUCGUAGCUUAUUGGGAGAGUAAAAAACAAAACAUGGUUUAAGCAGGACGACGGCUCCACCUGCAGAUACUUAAGAUACUUAAACUCUACUGAUAAAUGUUUCUUGCUAAAUUAUGUUAUUGACAGAUACUCCAUAUUAAUAUGUAUCUCCAUGAGACUAUCAGAACUGAGAUCCAUUCUCCAGGCGGAGAAGAAACCUGUUCAAAGUGGUCAGUAAAGCUUCUACCACCUUCAGAUUUAUCACUACUGUUAUUCACAAAUGCAUUUUAGAACAAUACCCUCAUGUUUGCAGAUAUUCUUCUUUUUAGGUUUUCACAUUGUGAGGACGACAUUAUUUUGACUGCAUCAUUCAAUUUUUCAAACUCAGAAACUGACUUUCAUUUUUAUUUGACAUGGGUAGCUGUGACACGCCUAUUUUGCUAACAUUUGAGGUAAGUUUAUAUGCAUAACUACAAAAAUCUACACACAUCCACACAAGAAUUAGGGCAGGUUCUGGGCCAAAGAUGAAUGGAUAACAAAUUAACAGCUGGCACACUGUGGAGCUCCAGAUUUGCUAUUUUAUUACACCACAAAAAGUCUGACAUUUUGAGCAAACCUGCUUUUUAUCACAUAAGAUACAAUGCAGCACCAUCUUAAAUCACAUGUUACUGGUUGUAAUGAUGCAUGCUUGUGUAUGUGUGAGACUACUUUAUAUGGAAUAUGCUUAACUGUAAGCACAUCAUGGUACAAUGCACUCUCAUCCGUCAGUACAGCCACUGGUGGAUGAGUCAGGGGGCGGCAGUCAGACAGGAAACUGCUGUUGAAGCUGAGCUUCCAGCGGGCAGCUUAGGUUUACAGUCUAUUAGCUUGAGACAGCAUAGUUUUAGCCAGCUGUCUGAAAAAGAUAAUCCAGUUUUCUGCAGCAGACCAUGCUCAAUACGUCAUAGUUUCUGUGUGUAACAGGCUGGCAGUGUGCAAACUGUUAUUUUAGUGUUGUGUAUGUAACUAAUUAUGUUCCAAAAUGCAACAAAUGAACAAAAUAAGUCUUCUAAAUGUUCUGUUUUCUUUACACAUGAUUGUACAUUUGAACAAAGCAAAUACAUGGAGCACUGUGCUUGUAUAUGAAGUGUUGUGAUUCACGCUAGUAGAUUUGUCAAUUUUAGAUUUUGCCAAUAACUUGAUACUAAAUGAUACAGAAACACACAUUAGAUCUAAAUAUCCUUUAAAGGUGUGUACCCUCACAUUAUGCUACACCCACAUGGUUUCCAUGGACAAAAGACCAAAAUGCAUAGGAAAACUGCAAAACGCACGUCAAUAAUGUCUCGAUGCAUGCCAUUCCCCAACUCUCUGUGAAUGGGACUCAUGGCCAUUGAUCGGUGGUCAUGACAAUUUGCAUAUUAAUGAUCCAGGAACUGACCUCCCAGCCCACUGUUCCUUCAGUGGUGCUAGUUUCACUCAUUGUGCAAAUGUACUGUAUAUAAGAUUGGGGAAACCUGCAGUCAGCUGAGACUGAAGAAGUCACCUGGAUGAGUGACGAAACAUUUCUCCCACUGAAAAUGUCCAGAUGAACAGGAUGCACUUUUGGGACACAUCAGUAAUCCUUUAACUGGAAGUAAGAACUUUGAAUAUAAGGUAAGGUGACGAUGGCUGGUCUUCGGGGUCUCACUGACUCUUUUAUAUUAAAUUAGCUCUGGCUCUUUAACUGGUUCUGUUUAAAAUGAUUAGACCCUUGAUGUUAACUCGUGAACCAGCUUGUGUUUUCUUCCAUUUCCAAUGGAACCAUUCUAGUUAUUCAGUGGAAGCAUCUCGUUUGAAGCAGGUGGAAUGUGGGACUUCACUUUAAUGUCUUUGCUAUAUGAUGUGUACCAUUGUACAAUCAAAAGAAAAUGCGAGUUCAUGUACAUAUCUACAAAUAUGAAAGUCAUGGAAUACUUGCUUUUAAUGGGUGUAGCUGCUGUCAUGAAAUCAUGGUAAAAGAGUGAGGUAGGCUGAACUGAAGCUUUGUGUGAACUGAAAGGUUCAAUCAGUGCCUGCUGAGUGUGCCAUGUAAAGGUAGACUCACACUCAUGAUAUUUGUACUACCAUGUAAAAACAAUCAGUUUGAAUUUGAUGGCAGCAGCAUGUUUCAAAGAAGGUGGGAUGGGGCGGCAAAAGGCUGACAAAGUAAGUGACACAAAAAAGAAACAUUUUAUACGUAAUUAGACAAACUGAUGACAGGUCAGUAACAGGACUGGGGGAAAAAAGAGAACAUCUGAGAGAGAGAUCUGCAAAAAAGUGCUUCAACAACAUUGUAGAGCAAUUUCAGAAUAAUGUUCCUCAACAAAUAGUUGCAAAGACUGUGAAUAUCUCAUCAUCCAAAGUCAUAAGCUCAGAAGAUUCAGAGAAUCUGGAGAAAUCUUUGCAUGAGGGACCAGGCUGAAAAUCAACAUUAGAUGCAGCUGAUCUUCAGGUCCUCAAGCAGACACGAUCCUGUUAUGAAAUCAGUGCGUGGGCUUAGGAACACUUCCAGACAUCACUGUCUGUGAACACAGCUCACUGUGUUGUCCACACACACCACAGUGCCACCAUCUCUGGACCAAAGCUCAUUUAAAAUGGACUGAAGCAAAGUGAAGAAAUUUUAAUUUGAAAUCGGAAAACAUGGACACUGCGUCUUCUAGACUAUCCGACUUGCUGUCAGUGCUCAGUUCAAAAACCUGCGUUUCUGAUGGUGUGGCAGUGCAUCAGUGCCUCUGGAGAUGGCAGUUUUAGAGCAGCAUAUACUCCCAUCCAGAUGGCAUGUGUUUCAUGGAAAGCCUUCAUAGUAGAAGAGUCCUUGCUGUUACCAGCUGGUGGAGCAUCAUAAAGUGAAAAAUAUCUCUAUGAGACAAGAAUGGGACAGCAUUCCUCUCCCAAAGUCUACAGAGUGGGAAGCAUGACCCUGUUUCUGAGAUGUGCUGCUGCCAUCAAAUUAAAAUAUUACAUAUUUCUCUUAAAAUGAUAUGUUUUCUCCGUUUAAACAUUUGAUAUGCUUUCUGUGUUCUAUCAGGAAUAAAGAUGAGCCAAUUCUGUUUUAUUUAAAUUUUACACAGCAUGAAAACUUUUUGGAAUUGUACUUCAGGUUGGCUCAGGAGGAAGACUGAUGACUUCAUCCUCCAGUCUGCAAAACACUGAACCCCAACUUCAAUGUGUAUGUGACUGUUAGAGAAAAGCUCUCAGGUGUAAAGAAAGUGCUUGUGUGAAUGUGAGUGCAAAUGGUUAAAUGACGCUUGCAGUAGAACAGGCUUCGGGUGCUCAGAGGAAUAAAGCGCUAUGUGCCAUUUCUGAACUGCCUAAUGAACUGGUUACACUGAUGCUCUGCUACCAUACCAGUAAAUAUCAUGUACUUGUUAAAAAGCAGUUGUGCGUGUGACCUUGUGUGGGUACAAUCAAAAGGAAUAACAGUGUUUUACAUAUAAUUAGAUAUCUAAUUAUAACCUGAAAAUGAUAUAACAGUGUCAAAGAGGUCUCUGGGAGUGAUUAACCUACAGAAAAUGAUCAGCUCACAGAUUUCUGCUUUGUACUCUGGCUGUGGCGUCACUGUUGGUUCUGACUACUUUAGUCUGAUCACAGUAAACUUAUCAGACCUGGGUGGAAGAAACUGCCGGAUGGGCAGCGUAACAGCGGCACCGGUGCCAGACCCACUCCACAUUUACCCUCGCUGUGUCCUGGUUCCACGCUUCAGACCAUUCCUAAGCAAAGAUGCUUACACCAAUGAAAUGCUCAGAUCUGCCUUACCACUGUAAAUCUGCUCGACUUUGUGUGCGCCAUCCACAAAUGAAAACACAUCUUAAUUACUUCAUAAAGUUUCACUGGCAGUGCUAUAAAAAGCUGCUGGACAGAAGAAACUGCUUUCUGAAAGUUACAUACAGUACUUCUGUACUGGUGUCUUUAAAUAUCAGCAGUAGUAAAAUUAAUUACAUUACGAGGGAGAGACAAAAAUACAAGAGCUUACUACUGAUG
ensembl:lncRNA